rnacentral:rRNA from 1 species
CCUACGGGGGGCAGCAGUGAGGAAUAUUGGUCAAUGGACGAGAGUCUGAACCAGCCACGUAGCGUGAAGGAUGACUGCCCUAUGGGUUGUAAACUUCUUUUAUAUGGGAAUAAAAUGUUCCACGUGUGGGAUUUUGUAUGUACCAUAUGAAUAAGGAUCGGCUAACUCCGUGCCAGCAGCCGCGGUAAUACGGAGGAUACGAGCGUUAUCCGGAUUUAUUGGGUUUAAAGGGAGCGUAGGUGGAUUGUUAAGUCAGUUGUGAAAGUUUGCGGCUCAACCGUAAAAUUGCAGUUGAAACUGGUGGUCUUGAGUACAGUAGAGGUGGGCGGAAUUCGUGGUGUAGCGGUGAAAUGCGUAGAUAUCUCGAAGAACUCCGAUUGCGAAGGCAGUUCACUGGACUGCAACUGACACUGAGGCUCGAAAGUGUGGGUAGCGAACAGGAUUAGAUACCCCUGUAGUC